UGUCGCGGCAGCUGUGCGUGGGACGUCUUCGGACGUGCCGGUUCUUCUGAUUCCCGGUCGGUCAACCCGCGUACAGCUGCCCCUUUU
rnacentral:antisense_RNA from 1 species